CUCUCAGUGAAGAUAUAGCAUCAACAUGAGAGUUCUCCCUGAGCUUCUGGGGCUGCUGUUACUCUGGUUUUCUGGUGUGAGAUGUGACAUCCAGAUGACACAGUCUCCGUCAUUUCUGUCUGCAUCUCUUGGAAACAGCAUCACCAUCACUUGCCAUGCCAGUCAGAACAUCAAGGGUUGGUUAGCCUGGUACCAACAAAAGUCAGGGAAUGCUCCUGAACUGUUGAUUUAUAAGGCAUCUAGCCUGCAAUCAGGGGUUCCAUCAAGAUUCAGUGGCAGUGGAUCUGGAACAGAUUAUAUUUUCACUAUCAGCAACCUACAGCCUGAAGAUAUUGCCACUUAUUACUGUCAGCAUUAUCAAAGCUUUCCUCUCACAGUGACAUGA